UACAGAGGGUGCAAGCGUUGUUCGGAAUUAUUGGGCGUAAAGCGCGUGUAGGCGGCCUGGCAAGUUGGGUGUGAAAGCCCUCGGCUUAACCGAGGAAGUGCGCCCAAAACUACGAGGCUUGAGUACCGGAGAGGGUGGCGGAAUUCCCGGUGUAGAGGUGAAAUUCGUAGAUAUUGGGAAGAACACCGAUGGCGAAGGCAGCCAUCUGGACCGACACUGACGCUGAGGCGCGAAAGCGUGGGGAGCAAACAGG
rnacentral:rRNA from 1 species